UGGAGUAAUUAUCCACACCCUGUUUCCCGGCUCGCUCAGCUGUCUACCCAAUAUAAACUGCUCAGCCACACAUCCACCAGACAUCCACCAGACAUCCAUCAGACACAAUACGCUUCUUUCACCAGUACAUUCGUGCUGUUUAAUCACUGAUUGAAUCUUUACCCACCAUCCUGAAAAAGUGGCAACAUGUGCAAACUCACUCUAACUGCAGGUCUCUGUUUGAUCAUCGCCAGCUUGGGAUAUCCUGGCCUCACGGAUGGAGCUGCAUUGCCAUCAGACUUCUGUAAGGGAAAGAUCAGUGGGAUAUACCCCAACCCUGCUAACCCACGUUCUUUUUACAAUUGUGCUAAUGGAAUCGGCUCGCCCCAAUACUGCCCAUCAAAUCUGGUCUUUAACCCAAAAUGCAGCUGCUGUGACUAUCCCGUGACCAAUCCAACUGAUAACUUCUGUAAAGGGAAGAGCAAUGGGCAAUACACUUACCCUGCUGACCGAAAUUCUUUUUACAAUUGUUGGGAAGAUAGAACCUAUAU